rnacentral:rRNA from 1 species
UACAGAGGUCUCAAGCGUUGUUCGGAUUCAUUGGGCGUAAAGGGUGCGUAGGUGGCGAUGCAAGUCUGGUGUGAACUCUCGGGGCUCAACCCCGAAAUUGCACCGGAUACUGCGUUGCUCGAGGACUGUAGAGGAGAGUGGAAUUCACGGUGUAGCAGUGAAAUGCGUAGAUAGCGGGAGGAAGACCAGUUGCGAAGGCGACGCUCGGGGCAGUUCCUGACACUGAGGCACGAAGGCCAGGGGAGCAAACGGG